AUGAUGAAGUAUGAGGCUAUGACACACACGCACUUUAAGAAGUUGUAUGAAUACAGGUCAACUUGGGUGUCGUGCUACUUCAAACACAACUUCUUUCCCUUCCUCCAGUCUACACAGCGUAGUGAGGGGUUCAACGCCGUCCUGAAAAGAUAUGUGAACCCACACAACUCAAUGCUAAACUUCGUUAAGCAAUAUGAAAAAAUUCAGAACCACAUCCUUGCCAAGGAAGGCUGCAAUGAUUACAGAACAGAACACCUUGAGAUUGAUUUGUGGUCCAACUUCCCAAUAGAGAAGCAAGCUUACAAAACCUAUACUAGGGACCUUUACCGCAAGUUUAGAGAAGAGUUUGAGCUGAUUGGACGUUAUAAUGCAUUCCAAGUUGGUGCUGAUGUAUUUGAGCUCAGACCGAACCAGGAAUUUGUUGCCAAAUAUGGUUCUCGAAACUACUUGGUGCAGGCAAGGGUGGAGGAGGGUUCCUAUUUGUGUGAGUGCUGUAAAAUGGACAAGGACGGCAUCCUCUGUUGCCACAUCCUCAAGGUGUUCACCCAUGUUGGAGUUGAUGUCAUACCGGAAAGGUACCUGCUAAGACGGUGGACACCUACUGCUAUACCUAGUGCGCUAGGGACUGGUUAUGAGCAACCGGAUGAAAUGCCUUCUCAAUCAAAGAAGCAGAUAAGGGAGAGGAACAUGAUAUACGAUUUUUAA
rnacentral:rRNA from 1 species